UGAUGAGUAUAAAGAGGAAGCUUUAGAUGCAGAGAAGGAUUAUGCUUAUGAUGUUGAUGUGAUUCAAGCGCUAUGAGCUUGGAGGGGAUGAUCGCCAUGAGAUCAUCUCUACGGUCGCUAUGAGAUCGUAUUUCUAUUCAUUGUGAGUGUCUUGCUAGUUGUAAUCUGACAUUGAAGAUCAAUAAAGGAGGAAGAGAUAUCUUGAGUCUAUCAUAAACAUACUUAAAUUAACCAAUGAUUUCAUUAAUGUUAUUCUUUUACGCAUGAUUUUACAUAAUCAUUGGGUUAAACCUAUAUCCAAUAUGUGUUUUCUUCGGAAAGCUCAUUGUAGCCGAUGUCGUCUGGAUCUCGAGUCAAAAAGCUAAGUAAUUUACUAUGAUGGUUGAAUCAUACGAAUGGGUGGAGAGAGUAAUGAAGGUGAGAUGGGUUAAUAUUAUGAAGAUGAUGAAAGUGGGAUCUCAAAAGUUGGAACCACAUCAGUGCUUUCGUAUGCAAAGAUAUGUCAUUUAUUCUCUUCUGCAGAUUAGGAACUGCAAUGUCUAUUUUUUAAUGCUUUUCUUAUCCACUUUGUAUUACAUGGUUAGGAUGAGAAAGGUUUAAUUUGUGUUGCAUGAGAUAUCUGAAUUUUUAUUGUGUAAUUUCUUUAUUUUGGUCUCAGUGAUUCAGAUUCUGGUAUUGUCUCCAUCAAGGGAACUUGCUUCACAAACAGAGAAGACGAUACAGUCUAUUGGAGUACAUACCAAUAUUCAGGCACAAUAUCCAUCAAGCGUCUUUUCAUGUUUGGUGAUUGUGGAGAUGGUGUCACUGGUCAGAUUGGUCAUUUUCUUGGUUGGUUCCAACAAGAAAGUGGAAAGUGUUGGAAUAUUGAUCAGAGCUGGAGAGUCUCAUGAGGAUCGUCACCAGGUUUCAGAUGAUGGUGUUCUUGGUGCUUCAACAAUCAGCAAAGAAGGCAAGUCAUAGCCGAAUCGAAGCAGAUAAUGUAGAUUUUGGUUUGGUAGCAAUAGGUUUGAUUCUCAUACGAGAACUAUCAGGAAUAAAACAAAAACUUUUGACAGUGGUUUGUGCUGAUUGAUAGUGGUUUGUGCUGAAACAAGUGGUUUCACAACCUUUUACAUAAAUUUUUAUUUUUAUUGUCCUCUAAAAAUCUAUUUAUAUAAAGUAGAGUUCCCUCUCUCCAGGGCUCUCCACAUCAGAUGCCACGUCAGUAAUUCGGAAGCCCUGAAGACGACACGUGUCUGUCACUUACUCUCCAAAUGCAACGCUUCUUUAAUUGUGUAUCGUCUUUUUGUUUUUGUAUAUCGUAGGGGCUUUUGAAAUUACUAUUGGGCUUAAGAUCAAACUGUUUUUUCGGCCCAGUCAACCUUAACUCUAAUCUGUAUACGUGAAAACAUGUGUUUUUCGUUGCUCUACUUUCGACGGCGACGGUGACGAUCGAGAUUCCUCACGGUUUCAAUAACAGAUUCCUUUAUGUGUUUAAUUCCAUUAAUUCAGAGGCCCACUACGAAUUAUUCAUUGUGUCGUUUGCGUCAGCGAGAUCUGUGUUAUCGAGUAUAAAUAAGUCAGAAUUUCUCUUCUUAAAAUCGUGAUCUCUUCAUCUCUCUUCUACUCAUCUCUCUUAUAGUAUACAAAUUCAUUGCUUUUUCUGCACAGUUCCAAUAGAUUUCAUUCUCAUAUAAUGGUCAAGCAGUCUCUUCUACUUGCUGACUUGAAUGUCUGCCGGUGUUCUUCCGUGCCCAGAUUCUGGGAAGCAAACUACCAAUAUAUAGAGGAUAUAUAGUUGUUCUCACUUGAUUUGAUUUUUUCUUUUUUUGUAGGAUGUUGGAAAAGCUGUGUCUGAAGACUUAUCAUAUUCUCUAUGUAGACAAAACCAUGAGAGACAAAACCAUUGGUUAGUUUCCUUUCAUCAUCCCAGUUCAUGGUUAAUGGGAACAGAAUAGUUUCCUUCCUUCUGGAAACAUCAUAUCAUUGGUCACGACAGUGUGAUGGCAUCCACCGUGAACAUAACCAAAAUGAAAAAGAAUUUGUUGUAAUGUACAGUGCUGGAGUGCACACACCUAGAGAAGAGAAUGGAAUCUUCCCAGCUCAGAACUAGGAACCUCACAACCAGUGACUUAGUAAAAGAUUACCUGCAUUAAUUGAUGGGUGGAAGAUCGAGUGUUGAAGAAGAUAUUCUCUGCCAGUUCACCUUCCCUGAGAGACCUGGUGCUCUGAUGAACUUCCUGGACUCUUUCGGUCCACGUCCACUUCCUGAACUUCCUAGCCUUUUCCAUUACCGUGAGGGUGGGGCAGGCGCGGACGUGCUGGUUGAGAUCCAAGUGCCGGAGCAAGAAAUGGUGAGUUAAGAAACCGAGCUCAAGUUCUUGGAUAUGAGUACGUCUUGGUAAGUGAAGACACCGUUUUCAAGCUUCUUAUGCACUGAGUUUAAAGUUGUACAUGGAGAGAUCAAAACCAAGAAGGAAGUAGAAGAAACAUGAGAGGUCUUCCUUGCGGUUGUAAAUCAAAGUAGAGGCGCAUGGGUUCGAGUUAUUUUUGACAAUCCAGUAAAUUAAGGAUCUAAAGACACGACAACAGAAUCUCGAUGGAGUCGAUUAGAUUGUCAUCGCAACAGAAAUAGACAAGAGUUUAUUGGAAUCGAGAAGCUCUUGGGUUCUGUUCAGACAAAACAGCUGCAAAGGGAUUCAGUGAACGGAGAAACUUGGAUGUUAACCAAGAUGGAGUUCUUUGGUGUGGAGAAGAAGAUAAAAUGGGAUUUUUGUUUGGUUUUUGGUUGAAGUUGGGCCAGGUGGAGAUUAAUAAUGGGCUUCAUUUUUAAUUUUGUUAUGCAGUAGUUCACUCUAAAACCAAACUUUGAGAUACUUGCACAAAGACAAGUCGGUUAAUUUUGUAUGUGAAAUAGAAAAAUAAAACGUUCA